rnacentral:misc_RNA from 1 species
AUUCAAGUCGCUGGUGAUGGAGACUUUGAGAUCGUUACGUCGAAGGUCGCCAGAGAUCAAGUCACGAUGUGGCCUAGAUGGGGUGUUUUUCUGCAUAACGUAUGUUGAAGGUAGGGAACCCGUUUGAGGAAGAGAAAUCCCAUCUUUUGACAGGCUGGUUGUAUCGGUUGUUCCUAACUUCUCUGAGAAUACCCCAGAAGUCGAAAUCUCUGAUGUACCAUAAUUGAAGUAUUCAAGAAUGAUAUUGCAGGCCUCCCA